rnacentral:lncRNA from 1 species
CGAGAAUGGCCGUUGUAGGCAGGGAGGCUGCGCUUGUUGUAUAGGGCUUCRAAAAGCUGAAGUGGGAUUCGGGAGAGUUACCUGUGUGUGGCUCCUCUCGGACUUUCUCCAGGGCCCUUUCUGCUGAAACAGAGCUGAAGAAGUUCAGGAUGAGGCAGAAUCUUUUUCAGGUCACUU